UACACACCGCCCGUCACACCAUGGAAGUUUGCUACACCGGAAAACGCCGAGCUAACCCGCAAGGGAGGCAAGCGUUUAUGGCUUGGCCGAUGACUGGGGUG
rnacentral:rRNA from 1 species